rnacentral:lncRNA from 1 species
AACCGGCCCCUGGGCCACCUCUCACAAUUGAGCCCCCAGCCCUUGAACACACGCACACACGCACACACGCUGAGCUACCGCCAAUGCUUGAGCCCCCAGCCCUUACACACACCCAUACACGUGCACAAACACACACACACGCUGAACCAACUUCAACACUUGAGCCCCCAGCCCCUAGAGAGAGACACACACACACACGCUGAUGCGGGAGCAUUUAGCACAGUUUCCUUGCUGAAAAAGCAGGACCUCGGUUUAGAAAAUGGAAAUUGCCCAGGAGGAAAAGAGAGCUGAGAUAUAUGCAGCCCCAGGUGCCUCCUUCUAAUUCAUCUUCACCAUUGUGGUUGUCAAUAUGGCAUGCAGAAUUAUCCCUCUUUCCAGGUUUUCCCCAAGGACCCUGGACAAUGCUGGUUUUUCCUAUGUGCACCACCAAAGGGCCUAUCCAGGAAAUGGAAAUGAAAGCAAAAUGGAAGGACGUGAGGUCCUUAUCCUUGGAGAUCCUAUGGAGUCUCCACAGACAUUCCUUGAAGAAAUCAGAUGGAGCUGAGCCUGACACUCUAACCGGUUCUCUGGGUGUACUGCAAAGGUCUAAUAAAAGGCACCUUUGCCCGGUUGCUUCAAUUCUAGGAAGCUGUUCAAUGUUUGACUAUAUUUCUCCAUACUCAUUUGAAAACAGUUCAUCAGGUUAGUUCAGUUGAAUUAUUGCUCCUUGGGAGUUUUCCAAACCCUGGAUUUCCUUCGGAGAGAGCUAGAUUCUAUUCCAUUCUUGGAAUUCAGCUCCUUGCCCUUCUCUGUGACCCCGGAUCGCGAAUGCAGUAAAAAUAAAAAUAUCCUGCUGCCUCCUGCACUAA